rnacentral:rRNA from 1 species
AUACGGAGGGUGCAAGCGUUAUGCGGAAUCACUGGGCGUAAAGGACGCGUAGGCGGGUUGGCAAGUCAGAUGUGAAAUCCUACAGCUUAACUGUAGAACUGCAUUUGAAACUGCUAACCUAGAGUAUGUGAGGGGGAGAUGGAAUUAGUGGUGUAGGGGUAAAAUCCGUAGAUAUCACUAGGAAUACCGAAAGCGAAGGCGAUCUCCUGGAACAUAACUGACGCUAAGGCGUGAAAGCGUGGGGAGCAAACAGGAUUAGAAACCCUAGUAGUCC